GAAACCUCUCAACCACCUUCAAAGGUGGCUUGGAAAUGGGGGACCGUUGCAGGCUUUUGAAGUCUGCUCCCCUGAAAUGCAUUAGUGGUGUCUGGGCUGACUGCCACAGUGUGACUAACUACCUCAGUGCCUUGGUGGGAAACCCUGCUGCUUCCGAAUCUCUGAUGACCAAC
rnacentral:misc_RNA from 1 species